GGUAGGUGGGCAAGCGUUGUCCGGAAUUAUGGGCGUAAAGCGCGCGCAGGGGCGGUCCUUUAAGUCUGAUGUGAAAGCCCACGGCUCAACCGUGGAGGGUCAUUGGAAACUGGGGGACUUGAGUACAGAAGAGGAAAGCGGAAUUCCAAGUGUAGCGGUGAAAUGCGUAGAGAUUUGGAGGAACACCAGUGGCGAAGGCGGCUUUCUGGUCUGUAACUGACGCUGAGGCGCGAAAGCGUGGGGAGCAAACAGGAUUAGAUACCCUGGUAGUCCACGCCGUAAACGAUGAGUGCUAAGUGUUAGGGGGGUUUCCGCCCCCUUAGUGCUGCAGCUAACGCAUUAAGCACUCCGCCUGGGGGAGUACGGCCGCAAAGGCUG
rnacentral:rRNA from 1 species